rnacentral:rRNA from 1 species
CAAUAGCGUAUAUUAACGUUGUUGCAGUUAAAAAGCUCGUAGUUGGAUUUCUGGAGGGAGCGUCGGCCCGUAUUUACGAGUGCGUGACGUCUCUGUCCAUCCUUGCGGGAAGGCACGGCAUUGAUUUGUUGUGUCGGAUCGCAUCAUUUACUGUGAAAAAAUUAGAGUGUUCAAAGCAGGCUUUCGCUUGAAUACAUUAGCAUGGAAUAAUAAGAUAGGACUUUGGUGCUAUUUUGUUGGUUGAGCCUAAAGUAAUGAUUAAUAGGGAUAGUUGGGGGCACCUGUAUUGCGUUGUCAGAGGUGAAAUUCUUGGAUUUGCGCAAGACAAACAGCUGCGAAAGCGUCUGCCAAGGAUGUUUUCAUUAA